rnacentral:lncRNA from 1 species
AAUACUAAUUUCAGCUAGUCAGUAAAAUGUGAUAUUUUUAAGUUUAGGAAAAUGCAAGAAGACAUAUGUAGAUGAGACAAAGAUAAACAAUAUCUAUCCACAAAUGUAUGAAUUUGAUGGGAGACAGAGGAAGCAACACUCAUGAGCCAGGACCAUAAAAGCUACAAAAAUACAAGAAAUAAAUGAGAUUACUCUGAUUACUUAUAAGAAAGAAGAAAAAGAAAGAAAGAAAGAAAGAAAGAAAGAAAGAAAGAAAGAAAGAAAGAACAUUCUAGAAGACAGGAAGAGCCAAAAGUCAGAUGAAGGGAUAAUGCAUAUAAAUGCAUUUCCCAGACUGUGAAAUACCUUUCAGAGGUUUAAGCUCCACUUUUUCUGGAACUUCAGGUUUUUCAGGAACUUUCUUCUUUGGAACAGCUUUAAAGAAUAUGAUCUUAAUUUUAUUAUUUGUAUAUUUAGACUAAUCUGAAGCAAAUUUUUAAAUAUGUGCUCUAAGAGUCAAAACCAAGCUUUUCUUACAACGAAAUAGCAUUAAUAACAGCCAACAGCAGCCACCAAAGAACACACAAGACGCACUUAAACCAUGAAAACAUUGCCUCUUUACUCUGACCUUGGGUUGUAAGUAUAAGUCUGGUGGAGAAAGAAGAUAAUUUUUGUUCUUUGCAGGAGGAAGAAAUAUUCCUUUGAGUAUAAAUUUAUAUUAAGGGAAGUGUAUUAAGUGUGCGUCUUCAUGGACUAUGAAUCAACAGAUGGGUAGUCUUAAAAGGCGCCCAUUUUCUAUGUCUGACUUAAAAUACCAGAAGUUACCCCUACUGGUCAGGAGGAGUGAAGAGGGACAAGAAUCAUUAUAAGCAGUAUUACUCUGGAAUAUCCUGGCUUUGUACACGUGUAGGUGAGUAUGGGAAAAGUGCUCAUCUAAGAUUAUAUGUAGAUCAUUUUAGGUUGAGAAAUCUCAUGACACUACAAAUAAGACAACACUGUAUUACAAUUAAAAGAAUAAUAUGCUUUUGCCAGUUUACUUCAGUGUUUCAAGAUGUUAUUUUAAAAAUUAAGUAAUAUUGCAUCAGUUCAAAGAAAUAUCUAAAUGCAAAAAGAAUGAAGGGAAACUUAACAAUGAGAAGAGAUGCUGGAUAUCAAAUGUAUUCAUAAUCACUCUUUCUGGCUACACGGAGGACCACUACAGAACACAAUCUGGCUUUUAUUAAGUUGUGAAAGAAAAAAAAAAGUAAGGGAGCAGUGACUUUCUAUCAUUCAUAUGCUUUCCUUUGAUGGUAUAUGAGCACAUAUCAGCUAUCAAUGCCAUAAAUAUAUUAUUUAGAGUAUGUUUUAAAGCACGUGAGGGGCGCCUGGGUGGCACAGUCGGUUAAGCGUCCGACUUCAGCCAGGUCACGAUCUCACGGUCUGUGAGUUCGAGCCCCGCGUCAGGCUCUGGGCUGAUGGCUCGGAGCCUGGAGCCUGUUUCCGAUUCUGUGUCUCCCUCUCUCUCUGCCCCUUCCCCGUUCAUGCUCUGUCUCUCUCUGUCCCAAAAAUAAAUAAACGUUGAAAAAAAAAAUUAAAAAAAAAAUAAAGCACGUGAAAUUCUUUAAGAACAGAGUUUUAGAUUUGUUACUGCAACGUUAAAAAUUUCAUGCAAAGUUUUCUUAUACAUCCCAAAUGCACAAGAUGUCAAAGAUAUGCAUGGCAAUCACACUUUGAAACGAGGAAAUCCUUUCUCCGUAAGAAAGUUAGUUGGACAGCGCCUGCAUCCAGAUCGCCAGGAUGAAGCUAACCAUGAUACACUUUCUGUCAGUCAUGACAGACAAAGCACCCAAAGGCAGCAGAAAACACAGGUCUCUAUGCAAUUCCCACAGCCUGAUUGUGUUUGCAAGCACACACUUUUAAAAGUAAUACAUUUCUUGCAAGCACCAUUUCUGAUGACUGAAUAGAAGUUUGAAGCAGGUUAAUAAAAUUUUGGUGUGGCAUUUUAUACCUUUAAGUUGGAAUAUUUUCUCCUUCACAUCUUCCUUAGGUGGAGCAGGAGGAGGUACUGCAGGCUUUGGUUUGAGUUUUGGUUUCUCAAUAACCUUCUUUUCCGGUUCAGGUUCUUGAAAGAGUAUUUCAGGAGUGUUAGUACAUGUAUAUGUUAAUUAGCAGGUGUGUAGAUAGUAUAUUCAGUAGAAAUUUAAACUUAUAUGAAAUAAAAGGUUUUCUUUUUAAGUUCUUAUUAGUGUCCAACAUAAAACAUAAAACAGUAUCCCACAUAAAACACAAAAACAUCAACAUUGUACACAGAUGAUGAGAAAUACAGCAAAGGCACCAAUAAAAACAAAGGAAGUAUCCGUAUAUGCCACCCUGACAUGAGAUCAACAGUACAAAUGACAAGGAUACAUAUGAAUGAAAUGCACACUUAAAAAAGAGUAUCUUACAUACAGAUGCAAAGAGACUUACAGACAAACAUAAAACAUAUAUAUGUAUAUGAAGAUGAAGUCUAUGAUGAUGAAGAUAAUCCAAGUAAUUGAAUACCUUGUAUCGGUAUUUCUUCUGGCUGUGGUUCAGGUUCAGGUUCUUCAGGCUCAAUAUACUUUUGAAUUUCACGUUCUUUAAAGAAUGUUGACAGAAGAUAUGAGGUUGUAAAGUUCUUCACAGAGACUCAUACAAAUUUCACACAGUUGCAAAGAUUUUAGUCACAAAAACAAAAAUAUACAAUUCGUACAGAUUCACUUAUACAGAAAAAGAGUUAAGGUUUCUAUUACACUAAAACAUUCUAUUAACUGCUUUAUAUGUUGAUAGCAAAUGAGAUGACUUAAAAUUUGAUAUGGGGUUAUUGUUUGAGAAUCCAAUGCAAUUAUUCCAGUUUUGCUUUGUAAACUAUCUUUGGGAAUUUACAAUUACUGUCAAGAAUAAGCAAAUUCAAGAUUAUAUUCAAAAGAAGUAUAACUAUUUGAAAAAUGAAGCAAACAUAUGCUGGAAUGCUUCUGUAUAUAAUUUUAAGAAAGAAUGUCACCCUAUGAAUACUGUGUGAAUGAAUACACACACACACACACACAUACACACAUAUAUACCUUCAACAGGGGGAGUCACUUUUCUACCAAUGGUUAUGGAUGCUUUUUCUUCAUAUAUUAUUUCCUCAGGAGAUACUUCAACUUAAAAAACACAGUGUUAUAUUUUAGACUCAAUUCACAAGAGAAUCCUGUAACUGCUAAGUUACAACAUAUCAUCUUAGUUAGCCUCAAUAACAUAUUCUUCAGAUGACCCCAAGAUAUCAACUUCGGGACAUAAGACAGACAACAGAUAAAUACAUAAGACCCAUCUACAACCAAAGCAAGAUGAAGACAAUUGUCAUCUUUCCAAGAUUUAUAGAGCAGCCAUGUACCUUGGACAGGUGGAGCUUCUGGCUCUUCAGGAAUAGGAAUGGACACUUUCUUUUCUGGGACGAUUUCCUUGGGCACUUGAGGCACUUUAAAGACAUUGAUUUUUUUUUUUUUACUAUUAAGAAUUUAGAAGAUGUGCAAGAUUCUGCAAACAGCAGGCAAAGAAUACAGGGGAAAGCACUUUAUCUUAUAAGACACUGUGGGGGAAUAUGGCUUUUCUGGACAUUCCAAUUUUAUACACGAGUCUUCUCAGCCUUCUUCAUUUACUUCUCUUCCUCUGUGUACCCUUAAGUGUCAGUGUUCUCCACUGGUCUAACUCUGAAGCCUUUACAAAUCAGCUCUACGUUCUUUAAGCAGUCACUCCUGUACCUGCAACUCUUGUGCCUCUCAUUUCUAGAUCUACAUCUCCAGCUCUCUUUCCUAAGCUCCAAAUGCAUAUUUCCACCUUCAGUAUUUGAAAAGUGAAAAAUAUAUUCAUUAUCUUCUAAUAUUAGUUAGGGACCCAAUGAACCUCAUGGAUAUCUAGCUACAAUCCUUACAAUCAUCUUGGGUUCCUCUAUUUCCCUAAUUAUUUUGAUAAUAGACACCAAUUAGAUCUCCCAUUUCUCUCACUCUUGUUCCAUUUCUACCACCACCAAUCUUGUCCAACUCUUAAUGACCUUAAUGAACUGCAGUGGCUCUUUACUAUUAUCACUGUCUUCCAGUAGCUGGAACUACUGCCAGUUAUUUUUCUGAAGCCCAGCUCUUACUAAUUGGUACACCUGCUUCAAAGCCUUUGAAGCUUCCUGUUGCCUACAGAAUAGAGGACACAUCUCAUAGGGACAUUCAAAGAACUCCAAAAUAUGACUCUCAGCUUUAUAUCCAGCCUGUAUUUCAAGAUACACCACAACCAAUCCAUCCUCAAAUUGCACAAAUUUAUUUGACAGCCCUUGAACUUCCUAGACUCUUCUGUCUCUGUGCCUUUUGAUAAAAUCUUCCCUUUGCCUAGGGGUGCCUGGGUGGCUUAGUCAGUUAAGCAUCUGACUUUGGCUCAGGUCAUGAUCUCACGGUUCAUGGGUUGGAGCCCUGCUGCAGGCUCUGUGCUGACAGCUCAGAGNNNNNNNNNNNNNNNNNNNNNNNNNNNNNNNNNNNNNNNNNNNNNNNNNNNNNNNNGCCCCUCCCGUCCCAUCUCAAAAAUAAACAAACAUUAAAAAUAUUUUUUGAAAUCUUCCCUUUGCCUAGAAAACCAUUUUCUCAAUGACUACAAUGUAAAAAUCCAUCAAAACAUAAAAUGCUAUUUCUUUCAUACAGCUUUCCCUGAUGCCUCUCUGCCUGAAGUUGAUCUCCCUCGCUCUGUGCUUCUGUAACCCCUUAUACUCUGUAGUUGUGGUCACUUCCUGUCUCGAUAGGAGUUAUUGCUGUGCUUUCUUCUCACUGCAGUUAAGGUGCUUGAGGACAGGAUCAGAUCUUAUUUUCUUUUUUUCUAGUACACUGUUUUGUUAGUUAUAAGACAUUCAACAAAAUAUGCCCGAUUGAGCUGUUCUACACCUUCAAUCAGAGGAGGUCUUUUUCUACCACCUGGACCACGUCAUAGCACCACUGAAUCUCCUUGUGUUUGUUUUCCUGCUUAUCUGUCUCAUUUUUUUCUCUUUGCCCUCAUUACUUUCCCCUUUUUACCUGGGAAAAGUGGUUUUGCAAAAACGUCGGUAUGUUUUGCUCUGGGCACUAUUACUAAAAUGCUCAGAUGUGAUUCAGAGAAAUAGAUAUUGUUUCUUCACGGUAGGUACCUUUUUCUGGCAGGACUUCUGGUUUUUUGGUAACAGGUACAGGUUCCUUCUUUACUGGAACAAGUUUCUUGGGCACCUCAGGCACUUUGAAGAUAUUAGUUUUAUUUGUAAAAAGAUUUUUGAAAACAUUUUACAUGUUAAGAAUAAAGAAUCUAUAAUUAAUGGAACGACAUUAAAAUUACGGAAAACAAAAUCAGGACAUUCUUGUCCUUAGUUAUGCAACAAGGACAGAUAUCAAAUUACUUUAUAAAAAUAAUAUCAAUGAUGACAUGAAUACCUUUAGCUGCUGGUAUUUCUGGCUUCUUAACAGUUGGAACUUUCUUCACUGGGACAACCUUCUUUGCCAUCUCAGGUACUUUAAAGAUAUUAGUAGCAUUUAAUAAUAUAAAAUUUCAAGAUGCAAUAUGUACACAUUAAUUUGAUGAGUCUGUCCAACACACCAACAUUUAGAUAACAGUUACACACAGAAUACAACACAAUACGUAAUAAAGAAAGAGUGUCACAUUUAGACAGCACACAGAAAAGAAGCAAAUAUUGAUUUCUUUUACUAUAAGUACCUUUAGGAGGUGGAGCUUCUGGUUUCUUGAUAACAGGAACUUUCUUCUCUGGAACAACCUUCUUUGGUUCUUCAGGCACUUGAAGGAUAAUAAUUUCUCUUAGAGUCAAAUGAUUACAACGAAAGGCUUAACGUUAAUGAAUGAAUGAAGAAGAUCACACCUAUUCCUUUGGUAGGCAUAUUGUAAAAUUCUAUAGCUUUUGGUGUGCAAAUGACUUCCGGUUUUGCCAAUGAAGUCAAAUUUCAAAUAAGAAGAUAGAAGACUGGAAUUUUAUCUUAAAGAAGAUAUACAAUCGAUAUAAAAAUCAAAGGAUGUAUUUUCUUAGACAGUACAGGAUCCUGCCUUGUACCUGUUGGUGGUGGCGCUUCUGGUUCCUCCUCUUCCACAACAGGAACUGGUUCCUCCUCUUCCACAACAGGAACUGGCUCUUCCUCUUCAGGAGCAAUUUCCUCAGGUUCUUCAUAGACUUAAAAAAUAUAGUUAAUUUUAAUUCUACGCGUGGAACAAUAUUCUAAAAUGCACAAAACACUGAACAUAAGAACUAGUAACCUUGAUUUCUUUCCAUGUUUCACUUAAUAUCUUCUCUUAUUUUUGUGAAGAUGAAAUCUAUCUCAUUUGCACUGACUUCUGUUUCUAUUAUCUGAAUGUUUGAAAAAGCCCUUUUGGUAUUUAAUGUCAUUUAUAGUCAUCAGUUCUGUCCUCCUUUCUGUGAGCAUGAGAGAAAUUUUCAUAUAGCUUAUGAUGCCUAUGAUGCCCUAUGUAGAUGUUUCUGAUUGAUAACCCAAAUCAGAGCUAAUUAAGAAUAAUUAAGACAAAUAACUAAAGGAUAGAAAAUGACCAAGAGAUACUAGAUUAGAAAAAAAGGAACAAGGCUUAAAUUAGCAAUUGUCAUGCAUGAGUGGCAAGCUCAUUAAUGGUCUUACGUGUACCUUCUGGAGGAGGAGACUCUACUCUCUCGGGAACAGGAAUGGCUGGUUCCUCUUCUAAGACAGGUUUCUUUGGUACCUCUGGCACUUUAAAGAUAUUAGUUAAUUUUACAUCUAGGUAGUUGAGAAGUACAGUACAUGGAAUUUAUACCACCUCUAGUUCAUAUCUAGGUCAAAUAACCCAGAGACAAAUCCAAGAACAAAAUUUACAAGGCCAGUAAUUUGUUCUGAGAUCCACACAAAGCAGGGAGGAAAAGAGUGGCCUAGUAAGAUUAACAAAAACUCUUCCAAUGCUCAGAAUAGAUGCGUCAAUUCUUUUUUUUUAAACAAUGGUGUUAUUUAAGAACAUUUAAACCCUAAAAACCCAGAAUGGCAGGUUUGUAAUUAUGAAUAUUAAGUUUGACAAACAACAGGGUUUACUAUAAUAAGUGACUUUUAAAACAAAGAGCGAGUGUUUUCUGCAGAGUCUCAUUAGUGACAUGUACCUUUGGGUGGUGGGACUUCUGGCUUCUUGGGAACAGCAACUUUCUUUUCUGGAACAACUUCUUUUGGAACUUCGGGCACUUUAAAGAUAUUAGUAUUUUAACAUUAGGAAGAGUCGCUAGUAAACAUUCAUCACAUUUACAUAGAACAAAAUACUUUUUAAGAGUUCGAGGUUUUUAUCCUCCAUCAAAUGGUAGACAUGUACCUUUGGCAGGUGGGACUUCUGGUUUUUUGGGAACCACUAGAGGCACCUUCUUUUCAGGAACAACUUCCUUGGGUACCUUGGGCACUUUAAAAGAUAUUAGUCAUUUUUAGCUCAUAGUUUCAAUGACAUAUGGAAACCAUUAAGUAUAGCAGUGGAACCCAACACUUUAAAGACAGACAUUUUUCUGUAGGAGGUUAGUGGCAGUGAGAAAUACCUUUCACU